rnacentral:rRNA from 1 species
UGCGUAAUCCAUAUGCCUUGACCUGCUCAUGUCUGAAUAUUUCACCCCUGUUUAUUUGCGUACCAUUUGUUUCCUUGGUGGGCUUGCCUGCCGAUAGGACUUAUUAAAACCCCUUGUAAUUGCAGUCAGCGUCAGCAAAAAACUUAAAUUUACAACUUUCAACAACGGAUCUCUUGGUUCUGGCAUCGAUGAAGAACGCAGCGAAAUGCGAUAAGUAGUGUGAAUUGCAGAAUUCAGUGAAUCAUCGAAUCUUUGAACGCACAUUGCGCCCCUUGGUAUUCCAUGGGGCAUGCCUGUUCGAGCGUCAUUUGUACCCUCAAGCUUUGCUUGGUGUUGGGUGUUUGUCCCGCGUUGCGUGUGGACUCGCCUUAAAGCGAUUGGCAGCCGGCAUUUUAGCAUGGGAGCGCAGCACAUUUUGCGCUCUUGGUUAUAUAUGUUGGCGUCCAUUAAGCCUACAAUUUUGCUCUUGACCUCGGAUCAGGUAGGGAUACCCGCUGAACUUAAGCAUAUCAUAAGGGGG